GCUAAAGGGUUACAGCUAAGGAAAGGAUAAAUGGGAGAGAAGAACAGGACAUCCUCACCACCAUCGUCUUAGCAUCAAAGACCCUCUUUUUUCUUCUUCCAAAUUCUGUUCUUGUAAUUUUGUUACAAUCCAACCAUGGCUUCCUCUAGCAAUUCUAAGAGACCCUUUUGUUCUUCUUCUUCUUCUAAUUCUAAAUGGAGGUACGAUGUGUUCUUGAGUUUCAGAGGCGAGGAUACCCGCAACAACUUUACUAGUCAUCUCUACAAGGAUUUGGAUAAGGCCAACAUUAAAACCUUUAAAGAUGAUGAAGAACUUCGAAAGGGAGGAGAGAUUGCACCCGAGCUCCUAAAAGCUAUUGAAGAAUCAAGGAUCGCCAUUAUCGUCUUCUCGAAAACCUAUGCUCAUUCCAAGUGGUGCUUGGAUGAACUCGUCAAGAUCAUGGAGUGCCAGAAAGAAAAGGGACAAAUAGUUUAUCCCGUUUUCUAUCACGUACGGCCGUGUGAAGUCAGGAACCAGUAUGGGACUUAUGGAGAAGAAUUUAAGAAACACGAGAGCAAUGCGGACGAGGAGAAGAAGAAGAAAAUAGGGGAGUGGAGGACUGCCUUAAGGAAAGCCGGUGAUUUGAGUGGAUUUAGUCUGCGGGAUAGGUAAUCCCUACUUCACUUUUUCCAUUUCCAAUUUUCUGUCAGUUUAUUUUCAUUCUUGUUAGUAAAUAAAAUAUUUAUGAUUACAUAUAUCAAUCAAAAUCCAGUUUUUAAGUAGUAGACAUUAAUAUGUUUGAUUUCUUGGAAAGUAAUAAGAAGAGUUAAAAAUAAAUAAAAAUAAAAAUUUAAAAAAUUUGAUUUUCUUAUAUUUAAUGUAUUAUUAAAAAAUAUGAAAGAAAAUAAAAAUAUAAUUAAAAUACAUUGUAAAAAUAUAUAUAAUUAGUUUAUAAUUAAAAUAAUCUUAGAAAAUCUAUAGUAGUUGUUCUGGGCUCAUUCAGGCCCAACAGGUAAUCCCUAUUUCACUUUUUCCAUUACCAAUUUUCUGUCGGUUUAUUUUCAUUCUUGUUAAUAAAUAAAAUAUUUAUGAUUACAUUUAUCAAUCAAAAUCCAUUUUUAAGUAGUAGACAUUAAUAUGUUUGAUUUCUUGGAAAGUAAUAAGAAAGAGUAAAAAAAAAAAUUGACUUUCUCACAUUUAAUUUAUUAUUAAAAUUAUAAAAGGAAAUCAAAUAUAAUUAAAAUAUAUCGAAAAAAAAAAUAUUUGCCUACAAUUGGGAUAAUAUUAGAAAAUCUAUAGUAGGUGUUGUGGGCUCAUUCAGGCCCAGGUAAUACUGGUAAAAAAAUAAAAUAAAAUAAUUAUGCCAAAUGCCAAGUUUUGAAUUGUUAAAAAUCUUUAAGAUUCCAAAAUAUUCUUCCUUUCUAAUCAAUCCAUCUCAGCCAUAAUUUCUAUCAAUUAAAUUGUUCAAAUUGGUUAUUUAUAUGCUUUGUAAAUUUGGAGAUAAUCUGAGAUGAUUAUUUAAAAUAUUGUAAUACUACCCUAAAUUUUUUUGGACCCUCUUAUGGGACAAAAAACUUAGUUAUUGCACCCUUAACCUUUUUCAAUUUUAGAGGAAUUUUCUAUUACUAAAAUAAUUUUCUCAUGUUCUCUGUGCACUACAUGAGUUUACAUUUCUUCUUUACUUAAUAUUGUUUGUUCCUCUAUAUUUGCAAGUUGAUUAUUAAAUUUAUUUACCUUUUAAUCUAAUGUUUGUAUCUCGUUUUAUUCUAAUUAUCCCAUGACAUCUGGAUAAUCUCUUCUUAAGACCUUGACAUGACAUAAUGAAAUUUUAUUUAAACAUGCAAUUCAACACAUUUUUAAUUUACAUUCUAUUUGACCUUAAUUUAAUUGCACCGAACUAAAGAUCAUUCUAUAAUUUCCAUUUACUUCAUCUUUGUUUUCUUUGACAAUUGAUUGUAGCUUACUCCAUGUUUUAUUGUACUUUAUAAUGGACAGAUCUGAGGCAGAGUUUAUUGAAGAAAUCAUUGGUGAGAUUCGAAGAUUAAUUCCUAAGUGGGUACAUGUUGGUGAGAAUAUUGUUGGAAUGGAUGAAAAUUUGAAAAAAGUGAAGUUAUUGAUAGAUGCCCAAUCAAAUAAAGUGAGUAUGGUUGGGAUUUAUGGGACUGGUGGGAUUGGUAAAACUACCAUCGCCAAGGUUGUUUACAAUGAUAUGUUAGAUCAAUUUAAAUGUCACAGCUUUCUUGAAAAUGUGAGAGAGAAAUAUGAAGAUAAAGGUGAUUUGCUUCAAUUACAAAAAGAACUUCUUUGUGAUAUCCUAAUGGAGAAAAAUCUGGUGUUAAGGAAUAUUGAUGAAGGAUUUAAAAAGAUAAAGAGUAAGCGUCACUCUGAAAAGGUUCUUAUUGUUCUUGAUGAUGUAGGUUGUGAAGAACAAUUAAAAUUCUUAGCUCCUAAUUCUGAAUGUUUUCAUCCAGGAAGCAUAAUCAUUGUGACCACGAGAAAUAAGCGUUGCCUAGAUGUAUAUGACUCGUAUUCAUCAUAUGAGGCUAAGAGAAUGGCAGACAAGCAAGCUGAGGAACUCUUUUGUUGGAAUGCCUUCAAGCAAGACCAUCCCAUAGAAAAUUUUGUGGGCCUCUCUAAUCGUAUACUGGAUUAUGCUGACGGCCUUCCAUUGGCUCUUGUAGUUUUGGGUUCUUUUCUCUUUCAAAGGCCUAUGGAUGAAUGGGAAAGCACAUUGGAUGAACUCAAAACAAUCCCUCCCGAGAAUAUUCAAAAGGUACUCCAGAUAAGUUAUGAUGGACUAAGUGAUGAACGCAAGAAGUUGUUUCUUUAUAUUGCAUGCUUCUUCAAAGAUGAGGAUGAAAAAAUGGCAACAAGAAUACUAGAAAGUUGCAAAUUACAUCCCGCUAUUGGACUAAGAGUUCUUCAUGAGAGGUGUCUUAUUUCUAUAGAGGACAACACUAUAAGGAUGCAUGACUUGUUACAAGAAAUGGGUUGGGCAAUUGUUUGCAAUGAUCCAGAACGUCCAGGAAAAUGGAGCAGAUUGUGCGAAUUACAGGAUAUUGAAAGUGUAUUAUCACAAAAUGAGGUAAGAGAAAAAUACAUGAACAUACUUGAGAUCUAAAGACAUAAAAGAUUCAACAAGAUUUAUUUUUAUUAUUAUUAUAGUUUGAGUAUAUUAUCUAUAUAAUUUUAGUGAAUCCCUAUGCAUCUUAUACUGCUCAUUCUCAAUCCUUGUUUUCAGUGGACAAAAAACAUUGAGGGGAUUUUCACAAGUCAGUCUCGCCAUACAGGAAAACAUAUACAACUUACUACUGAAGUUUUCAGAAAUAUGAAUCAACUUAGAUUGCUCAAAGUCGAAUUCAAUCAGAUCGUGCAGCUUUCCCAAGACUUUGAAUUGCCUUGUCAUGAUUUAGUAUAUUUUCAUUGGGAUUACUACCCUUUAGAAUAUUUGCCAUCAAAUUUUCAUACAGACAAUCUUGUUGAACUCAACCUCUGGUGUAGCCGCAUAAAACAUCUUUGGGAAGGAAAUAUGGUAUUGCUAUUAUUUAGUUAUAUUUUUGUUGUAGACUAAUUUUAAAGUCUUUUGAAGUUUACUUCUUGACACAAAUUUUCUUCUGUUACAGCCUGCUAAAAAGUUAAAAGUCAUUGAUCUUAGUUAUUCCAUGCAUCUGGUUGACAUUUCAAGCAUCUCAAGUAUGCCAAAUUUGGAGACUCUAACUCUAAAAGGUUGUACAAGGUUCCUUAAGUGUUUCAUCCAUGCUAAAUGUUAUUAUCAGUCAUGAACUAAUUGUUUUCUUGAAUAUAAUAGGGUGCACGAGACUUAAGAGUCUUCCAAGGAACUUUCCUAAGUUGGAAUGCCUUCAAACACUCUCUUGUUGUGGCUGUUCAAACUUAGAGAGUUUUCCGAAGAUCGAGGAAGAAAUGAGAAGUCUAAGAAAGCUUAAUUUAAGUCAAACAGGUAUAAUGGGAUUACCAUCAUCAAUUAGCAAGCUAAAUGGGCUUAAAGAGUUGGACUUAAGUAGUUGCAAAAAGCUUUCGAGUCUUCCGGACAGUAUUUAUAGUUUGAGCUCUCUUCAAACUCUCAAUCUAUUUGCAUGUUCACGACUAGUGGGCUUUCCGGGUAUCAAUAUUGGAAGUCUAAAAGCUCUUAAAUACUUGGAUUUGUCAUGGUGUGAGAACCUUGAGAGUCUUCCGAAUAGUAUUGGUAGUUUGAGCUCUCUUCAAACUCUUUUAUUGAUAGGGUGUUCAAAACUGAAGGGCUUUCCAGAUAUCAAUUUUGGAAGUCUAAAAGCUCUUGAAUCGUUAGAUUUCUCAGGUUGCAGAAACCUUGAGAGUCUUCCCGUGAGCAUUUACAAUGUAAGCUCUCUCAAAACUUUGGGGAUUACAAAUUGUCCAAAACUCGAGGAAAUGUUAGAGAUGAAACUAGGGGUUGAUCCAUGCCCCUGGCCAUUUUCACCUCUAACCUGUCACAUUUCAAAUUCAGCAAUAAUCUGGGAUGAUCACUGGCAUGACUGCUUUUCCUCAUUAGAAGCAUUAGACUCACAGUGCCCCCUGUCAUCACUGGUAGAAUUAUCUGUAAGAAAGUUUUAUGACAUGGAAGAAGACAUCCCCAUUGGCAGUUCCCACCUAACCUCAUUGGAAAUAUUAUCUCUGGGGAACGUCCCUACAGUAGUAGAAGGAAUCCUCUAUGACAUUUUCCAUCUAUCUUCAUUGGUAAAAUUAUCUCUUACUAAAUGCAAGCCAACAGAAGAAGGAAUCCCCCGUGAUAUUCAGAACCUAUCUCCACUGCAACAAUUAUCUCUACAUGACUGCAAUCUAAUGAAAGGAACGAUCCUCGAUCAUAUUUGCCAUCUAACAUCCUUGGAAGAAUUAUAUCUGGGUUGGAACCAUUUUAGUAGCAUUCCUGCUGGCAUCAGUCGACUUUCCAAUCUAAAAGCCCUUGACUUGAGUCACUGCAAGAAGCUUCAACAAAUUCCAGAGCUUCCAUCUAGUCUACGAUUUUUAGAUGCGCACUGUCCGGAUCGUAUUUCAUCAAGCCCCUUGCUUCUACCUAUUCAUUCUAUGGUCAAUUGCUUCAAAUCAAAAAUUGAGGUAUGAUUCUCAUGCCACGUUCCUUUUUCUUUUGUACCCAUUGGAUUUACAUGGUGCUUUCGUGCAGGGGCGCAAGGUUAUUAAUAGGUAUUCUUCCUUCUAUGGCAAUGGGAUUGGUAUUGUUAUUCCUAGUAGUGGAAUUCUAGAGUGGAUAACGUAUCGGAAUAUGGGAAGGCAAGUAACAAUAGAGCUCCCUCCGAAUUGGUAUAAAAAUGAUGACUUGUGGGGAUUUGCUUUAUGCUGUGUUUAUGUUGCACCUGCCUGUAAAUCUGAGGAUGAAUCUCAGUAUGAAUCAGGUCUUAUAUCUGAGGAUGACAGUGACCUUAAAGAUGAAGAAGCAAGCUUUUAUUGUGAAUUGACAAUCGAAGGAAAUAAUCAAUCAGAAGACGUGGGUCAUUUCUUUCUUCAUUCUCGCUGUAUUAAGGAUGAUGUAUCAGAUAUGCAGUGGGUGAUAUGUUAUCCCAAGUUAGCUAUUGAGAAAAGUUAUCACACCAAUCAAUGGACACACUUCAAGGCUUCAUUUGGUGGUGCCCAAGUGGAAGAGUGCGGAAUCCGUCUUGUAUACAGAAAAGAUUAUGAACAGAAGCAUCCAAGAAUGGCACAAGGCAGUACUUCUCAUGGGAAUUUUGGUGAGCAUGGAUCAGUAAGAGAAGAUACUGAUAGUAAAGCUCACAAUAAAAGGAAUCCCACAGAACAGAGCCCAGGAGAGGAGUCACACCAUAAAAGAUCCAGAGAAACCCAAGACUGAUCUCAAGUAUUAGGCUCAACCACACUUGCAUCACUAAUGCUCUCUUUACUGGUAAUUCAUCUUCCUUUCUCUUUCUAAUUCAAAGGUCAGAAUUUUUUUUUUAUCGUGUUUCUCCUUUUUAUUUGUUUUUUUUUUCCCCAAGACAAACAAAACUUUGAGGCUAUCACCCAUGGGCGCAAACUUCAAUGGUACACCUCCCAAGUUUGUUUUUCUCUCUCUCCAACCGUCUCUCCCUAGAUUUUUCUGCAUUUUCUUCAAACUCAUAUUUCCAUAUGAAAUUCAAUUACAUUCGAGCAUUUCAAUCUCUGUAGCUACUGUCUGAAUCAAUUAUAGGGUUUCUUUUUUCUGGAAGUUUGUAAUGUUAUUGAUUUAAGACUUCAUGUUUGGGGAUGUUUUGGGUGGCUUGUUCACUGGUAUUACUUGUGAUAAUUGCAGCUCUGGUGCUUUCAAUGACUGACAAUAGUUGAAACUAUGUUGAAUGCUUGUACUAAGGGAAUGGACUUCAGCUGCUCCAGGGUUAGUGCUAUAACAUCAGUAUUCACUCUUCAAGAAUGUAUAUAGUUGUUGUUUUGGAAUUUUGAAAUUACUUAGCAUCAGACAAUUUCUAACUCGGGAUUUGGAUUGGGAACCAUAAGUUAUCUCACCCUAGUGUUCUUUGGAAUAAUUAUAGGAUUUUGUAAGUAACUUUGGACUUGUUAGCAAUGUUCUGGAUUUGUGAAUAAUUUAUAGAAUACAUUGGGUGUUUUUUUUUUUUGGUCCAUCAAAAACUUCAAGAACUUUGAGGGUGAAUAAUGUAUGACUGUACUCUUCUCUAUCUCUGUGGUCAUAGCACACGUAUGAUUUGGUGCUUUUUUGCAGGCCUUCAACAGCAGCAAAGCAUCUGGUGGCUUGCAGUACUAAUCUUGCAUUAUAUUCUCUGUUUUGCAAUCAUUUGGUACUUUUUGUCCCAACCAAGGAUAGCUCUGUGCAAGCAGUCUCGACUGUGGAACAAGUAAAACAAAUGGUACCUGCUGAAGCUGAGAGUGCAGAUGAUAAACUGGUGCGGAAGGUGGUCAACCAAAAGAAUCAGACAGCAAAAACUAAAAAGCCCAUGAAGCCUGCUACUGAAGCAGUCUCAGCACCUGUUUCUAGGAGGGGUGAGAUUGAAGUGACUGAAGAAAAGGAGCAUCAGCAAACAAAGAAGGAAGAGGAGUUGGCCAGGAAGGUAGAGGAAUUGAGAAGUGAAGAAGAAGCAGCCAUGUUGAAGGAGCAAAGUCUGUUGGAGGAGAGAAAGCCAACGUUAAGGAGGCACUGGAAAGGCAACAAGGAACUGCAGAAAAGGCCAAUUUCUCUGUGAGUGCUGCCACCUUUUCAUGAUACAGCCAUCAUAAUGGAUGUUAAAAGCAGUCUAACUCUACAUACUUCCUUGCAUUAUACUAGUCAUUGAUGGGCUUAAAUUUUAAUUUAAAUGUAGUAUAAAUAUAUAAGUAGAUUGAUUGGGUCUGAAUUUGAACCUGGUUCGAGUCAUACUCCCAUCCAAUCCAAACUUGUGAUUGGGCUUGAAUUUCUUGGCCCAACCAGCGAAAUCAUUGACCAACGGCCCUUAGUUUGGGCUGGGCUUGAUGGUCCUCAGGUUAUGUAGGCUUAAUACUGAUUGGGUUUGGGCUUCCAUGCAGUUGUACUUGGAUUCUAUGUUUCCUAAUAUUAACACUAAAUUAGGUUUAAUUUAUAAUUAAAUAUAAUUAGUUUGAGACUAACUCCAAUCUUUAGUUAAACCAACUAAGUUUUAUGCAAAGGUUUAUAUUCCUAAUACCAUCAGGUAUUAUAGUAAAUACCAUUGAAAAACUAAAUUCAUGUGGAAGUUUCACUAGGUGAUACGACAUUAAAUUAUUAAGAUAAAAUUAAAAAAAGAUCAUGCUCGUAUGUCCCGUUGUUUGUCAUAAGAGAAUUUCUUUCUAGAUUUUUUUUUUUUUGCUCUUUUCAAUUCUAGAUAUUUUAAUAUAUCUUUACUUUUUCAAAAACAAUCCAUAGGAUUGUUCCCAAACAUAUAUCAUAUAAAUAUAUAUUUUUAAGAUUGAUUUUUAAGAAUGUUAUCAAAUAAACUCAUAAUAGCAUUUUUUUCUUUACAAUUACCAAUUCGUAUGAUGAAUUAAUUACUUUCAAUAACCGACAUCAUCUAAUCAAAAUUAUAAUUAAGUAUCAUAUUAAAAGAGUGUUUAAAAAAUCAAAUUUAAUAACUUAAAGUGAUUUAAUAAUUUAAUUUAAAUUAUUAAAAUAACUUGAUGUCACAAUUUAAAGUUAGAAAUGACUUAAUUUAUUUUUAUUUAAAUUUAAAACUAAGUUUACAAAAAAGGUUUAAAAUUCAUAUCAAUUAAGAAAUUAAGUCAUUAAGUUACUUUAAGCCAUUAAAUUGAUCUACCAAUUAAACACCCUUGAAGAUAUUACAUAAAGUUCACCUUCUACAUAUCAUGAAAAUUUAAAAUUAAUUACAACAUCAAGAAUCUUUAGUUCCUAAUCGAUAUCAUAUUUAAUCCUUGGUUGUAAAUUUCUUUACAUAUGUAGAUAUAUUUUUAUAUUGCAAGUGGGUUGCCGACUUUUCAUUUUAUACUAGUUUUGAAAUUAAGAUUGUAGUUUUUAUUUUGUCCAAAUCUAAUUUGGAGGGAGAAUCUUUAGAGGCUAUUUUAUAUUCAAAUAGGAAAAUUUUAAAUUUAAUAGUCCCACCUUAUAAAGGCAAAUAUCUUGGACCCUACAUGGGUGCCUCUUACAUGCAAAAGGACAAAGACUUAUUGAAAGCCUCUCUCAUUCACAUGGAUGCCAUCAUUCAUCAAAGUUGAAACAUGAAACCCACACAAAAGCAAUUUCAAUAUUUUUUUUCAUAACUAUAGCUGAGAAUCUCAAUAUUAUUAAAUAGUGACAAAAUUAAUUUCAAUAUUUUUUUUUCUUAUUUUUUGCUCCUUGUGGUUAUAUUUUCAUCUGGAAAGUAUUAAAUAUAUUAAAAAAGAAAAAAAUUAUAAAAAAAUUUUUUUCCUAGUUAAUUAUACUAUGAAAAAUAUAGAGUAAAAUAAAAUAUAAUUAAAAUUAGUUAAAAAAUUAUAUUUUUAUAAAAUUAUUUGACUUUUUUAUAAAAAUUUAAAAUAAGUGACAUGAGUUUGAAAUAGUAUAUAUAUUGACUUUAAUUCUUUCAAAUUAAUCACUAGGUUGUUAGAGACAUACACCUAUGAUCCAAAGGUUUUCCCAACAAAGAUAUCAAUAAAUCUUUCUACUCCAUUGAUUGCAUCUUGAAUUCUUUCAAAUUAAUCACUUCAUUGUAAUCAUUAUUCACUUCAUUGUGAUUUGUCAGACAACAAUUCAUUUCUGCUUCAUGGUUGGACCUUGAGGUAAGGCUUUAGAGGCAUAAGCCUCAAAAGCCUCUUAAAAUUGGUUCUACACUUCUUGCAUGAUGAAUGCAAGUUCCAAAUUUUGAUGACUUGGUAAUGUUGGAGUAAUUGGGUUGAAAGCAGUCAAACACAAAUAUUUAUUAAAGAAGAUAAAAAUUUGGAAGAAUUAAAAUUUUAUUGUAUUCUACCACUCUUUUUUUUAUUCAAAUAUUACAUAAUCCUUUAUUAACUAAAAAUGACAUAAUUAAAAGUAAAUUAUCAUUUGAUUGCAAUGGAUUUAAUAGAAUAUGGUGGAUAUGCUAAAUUUUUGUCUGAUAAUAAAAUUUGAUUUGAGUGAAUAUAAUUAGAGUAAAAUAGUCUUUUUAACUAUCACUUUUACAAUAAAAAGUGUUUUAUUUAAACAAAUAUUUAAUAAAAUUUUAAAAACAUUUGAUAAAUAAUUAUUAUAAAAACUCUUCCUCGAAAAUACUUCAAAGUUCGUCGGAUGGUAAAUUAUACAUCAAGAUCUUAAUGAUGGUCCAUGCAACCAUCACCAUUGAUUGUUUUUGAAAACACAACUUCAAUUUAAAUAAUAUUUUAAGGUAACUCCUAGUUAUCAUAUUUUACAAGAUAUUUUUUAAAAUUAUUGUUUUUUUUCUUUCAAAAUCCUAAGAGAGAGGUCACCAAUAUCAAAAUAAUGUGACCCAUCUCUAUACUAUUGUCUCCAUUAUUUGGACUAUAUCAUAGUUUCCUUAUUGACAACAUGGUAGCCAUGUUAAAUACCUACAACUUUGAAAACAAGAUCUCAAAACUAUGCCUAUUUGAUUAUAAGGCUUAAUUAUUAUAGUUUAUCAUUUCCUAGCAUAUAUAGUUCUUAGCAUCUAAGUAUUUGUUAUAUAAGAAUUUUUCUCAUUUUUCAAGCUUGCAUUUUGUUUAGAAAUUUUUUGAGUUUUUUACAAUCAUUUUGAAAAUGUCAACUCAUAAUUAUAUACAUUUUAGUUCUAUAAGGACUAAAAUCACUUAACAUCAUGGUAAUACUAUUUAAGGUAAUUUGCUUUGAAUCAGAAUGAACUUAUAUACAACUUACGAUUUAUGGUAAUAAUAGAGAUCGAAUUUAAAAAUACAUAAGUUUUCAAUUAAAUAUUAAUAUAUUUAUGUUUCCUUCUUAUUUUUAAUCCUAAAACACAUUAAAUGUAUGCUCUUGAAUUCCUCCAUGUAAUGCGAUUUGAUAUAAUGAUAAAUCAACAAUUAUGAUUUAAUAAUAUGGUGCUUUGACUUUUGACAUUUAAGUAACACCGUCAAUAAAAGCUCCAUAUCUUUGCUUCAUGGAAGAACGUACAAAUGAUGUGAUUGAAUUACAUUUCAAUUAUGUUUGAUUCUUUGAAAAUACUCAAGAAAAAUAAAUAUUUAAAAAAAUAAUUUUCUCAUAUUUGAUUUUACUAUAAAAAAAAUACAUAAUUAAAAUUAGUAAUAAAUUUAAAUAAUUUUAAAUUACUUAAUCUUUAUAUAAAAAAGUUAAAUUAGUAAAACGAGUUUAAAACAUGAUAUAAAGGUAAUUUAUUGACUUUAAUUUUUUUUUUUUACUUCACUUUUUCUUUCCUUCUCUUUGAUGAGAUCAUCUUAGAUAAAUUGUUAAUUGAUUGCAGCAUAUUCAAUUGAAUUCGAUAGUCUAGGUAUCAUAAAUCAUACAUGUUGUGCACCAUUUACAGUAAAUGAACCGUCACAAACCAUACAUAGAGGAGAUGUUGAUUUCAUUAUAAAUCAUACGAUAAUUACAAAAGAUAUGAUAUUAACUUGCAGUAAAUUGCAACAUCGGCACUCUAAUGCUAGACAAAGUAACUAGACAAAGUAAGUCUAAUUAUUGCUAACUUUCCUCAUCUUUCUUGGGCCUUUUGGGUGCUUUUUGUGCAAAAGAGAAAAAGCUAUAACUAAAUUGCCAAUCCAUCACCGACGUUAUAGACUGAUGAAGAAUACCAAAGGGAGUGUUACGAAAUAAUGAGAAUAAAUAAUAAGAAAAAUAGAAUAAGAACACAUAGAUAUACGUGAAAAACUUUAGAUGGGAAAAAUCAUGAGAAAACGAGAAAAAGAUCCGUUAUGUCAAAAAUUGGUACAAAAUGGGAGAGUUGAAAGCGACUACAACAAAAGUAUAAUCAUCGUAACCCUAAAACUAUACAUCAUUAUUAUAUAUAUAUAUAUAUGUAUAUAUAUAUAUAUGCGAGAGUUGAGAACAACUAUGGGAUGAGGUCUAUCGACUCGAUCCCUUCACUACCCCCACAAAUCUCUCAAAAAAUCUCAUAAUUUUAACUUUACUACAUAUAUUGCAUCGCGAGCUUUUCGAAUUGAAUAAAAAAGAAUUUGGAAUCAUCAAACAGUAACAAAGGGAGUGAGAUCAUAACUUUGGAAGGAUUUUUUUUUUUUUUAAAUGUAGACUUGAAUGGUAAAUACUAAAAUGUGUUUGAGAGUGAUACUUGAAAGUAUUUUUAAUAUUUUUAAUAUUCGAAAAAUAAAAAAUUUUCAAAUAUUAAAAAUAUUUCCUAAAAUCAAUAUCAAAAACCAUUUUACAAAAUCAGUAUCAAACUAUCAAACAUAAUUUGAAUUUAAAUAGAGACAAGAACAACAUUGACUCUUGACUCACCAAACCAGUCCUAGUUCACUUAUUGAAUGAAAAGAAAAUAAUUAAAAAUAAAUAACAGCAUCCAUUCUACCAUGUUAUGAAGAGUAAAAGACAAUGGAGAUUUUAACUUUGUUGCCUUAAAAGUCAUGCCCCCUUUCAUGAGUAUAUAUAAUAAAAUAUAUUCGUUUGCAUCUCUUGAAUGCAAAUAAUUUGAUAAUUUUUUUAUAAUUAAUUUAUGAAGAUAACAAUUUGAUAAUUAGACAAUUAUGUUGAUAUUUUGACAUUAUUAUCAAUUUACCAAAUAAGAUUGUUUUUCACCCAACAAUAAUUUACUUAGAAUAAUAAAUAAAUUAAAUUAGCUAACGUAACCAAAGCAUUUGAUUAAAAAUUGGUUUUCAUUUACAAAGAUAAGUUGAAAAUUAAUUUUAAUUUGAUUUAAUUAGGAAAUUAAUUUUUUGCUUGUUAAGUUUGUUUUAAUUUGUAAAUUCAUGUAAAUAAAAAAAAGGAUAAAAAGAUAAUUUUCAUGUGAAAAUUCAUUUAAUUUGAAAAUAAAUGAUGUAAUGUGUUUCAUUGUCGGUUAGCAUUUUUCUUUUUUUCUUGUUUGUAUAACUUUUUAAAAUGUAAAAGAUAAUAAUAAAAUAAGAAAUAAUCAAUAAAUUAAAAAAAUAAAAUAAAUGAUCUCACUAAAAAUGUUUUUUUACCUUAUGUCAUAUGACUUGGAUUAUUUUUUUUCUCUUUUCAGUAAAACAAACUUUUAAUAUAAAUAAAAAAAUAAAAUAGGACAUAGAGGAAAAUAGCUAAAGAGUAUAAAAAAAAUUCAAAAUAAUGCACUAAAAAUGGAAAGAGAAUAUGGUGAGUAGUUGAAUAAUAAUAAAUAAAAAAAAGUCAAAAAAGCUUCAAUACUCUUUGAAUCCACUGUUAGUGAAUGCCAAAAGGCAUACAUCAUACACGCAACUAGAAAUAAAAUGGUAAAAUAUAAAGAAAAGAGUCAGAAAAAGCACGAAGACUACAAUUAAUAAUCGUGGCAGGACUUCGACUCUCGUGAACCCCCCACUGUCACUCAAUGCUAUAGGGUUACAGGCUUGGAGCCAAUCAAAGAUAAUUGAGACAGAAGAACCAGACAUCCUCAACACCAUCGUCUCAGACUCUCAGCAUUCAAAGACCCCUUUGUAUUUUCUUCUUCCAAAUUCUGUUCUUGUAAUUUUGUUACAAUCCAACCAUGGCUUCCACUAGCAAUCCCAAGAGACCCUCUUCUUCUUCUAAUUCUAAAUGGAGGUACGAUGUGGUCUUGAGUUUCAGAGGCGAGGAUACCCGCAACAACU
rnacentral:lncRNA from 1 species